rnacentral:rRNA from 1 species
UACAGAGGUCUCAAGCGUUGUUCGGAUUCAUUGGGCGUAAAGGGUGUGUAGGUGGCGCGCUAAGUCGGGUGUGAAAUUUCGGAGCUUAACUCCGAAACUGCAUCCGAUACUGCGUGGCUAGAGGUAGGUAGGGGAGAUCGGAAUUCCUGGUGUAGCGGUGAAAUGCGCAGAUAUCAGGAGGAACACCGGUGGCGAAGGCGGAUCUCUGGGCCUUACCUGACGCUCAGGCACGAAAGCUAGGGGAGCGAACAGG